UCAAUAAGCGGAGGAAAAGAAACUAACAAGGAUUCCCCUAGUAACGGCGAGCGAACCGGGAAGAGCUCAAAUUUGAAAUCUGGCGUCCUACGGGCGUCCGAGUUGUAAUCUGCAGAGGCGUCUUCCGCCCCGGACCGGGUCCAAGUCCCUUGGAACAGGGUAUCAAAGAGGGUGACAAUCCCGUGCUUGACGCGACCCCCGGUGCUAUGUGAUGCGACCUCAAAGAGUCGAGUUGUUUGGGAAUGCAGCUCAAAACGGGUGGUAAAUUCCAUCUAAGGCUAAAUAUUGGCGAGAGACCGAUAGCGAACAAGUACCGUGAGGGAAAGAUGAAAAGCACUUUGGAAAGAGAGUUAAACAGUACGUGAAAUUGUUGGAAGGGAAACGAUUGAAGUCAGUCGUGUCCGAGGGGUUCAGCCGGUCCUGCCGGUGCACUCCCCUCGGACGGGUCAACAUCGGUUCUGUCCGGCGGACAAGGGCAGGGGGAAAGUGGCACCUUCGUGGUGUGUUAUAGCCCCCCGUCGCAUACGUCGGUCGGGACCGAGGAUCGCAGCUCGCCCUCACGGGCCGGGGUUCGCCCACGUCCGAGCUUAGGAUGUUGACGUAAUGGCUUUAAACGACCCGUCUUGAAAC
rnacentral:rRNA from 1 species